UAUGCGCAUCAAAUUUCAUAAAAAGCGCAAUAGUUUUUAGAAUGCUACAAGUUUCUUGGGUAAGGGCUCCGUCGGGAAAACAGGCAACUAAAGAGGAAUGCCGGCUGAUUGGUUUUUCGUACUGUUGGAAGUGGCCCGCCCAAGGUAAUUGGCAAUCUGUCCCCCCAGUCACUCGCUUUGGCACAUCGGGAAUUACUAUGAAUUACCUUCCAUGCUUUGAUUGCGUAAAGAUGACUUCUUGCAAUUUGGCAUCCAUUGUACACAUUCGGCAAACU